rnacentral:misc_RNA from 1 species
AAGUCGUAACAAGGUUUUCGUAGGUGAACCUGCGGAAGGAUCAUUAGUGAAAUUUCUAAGGGAGUCCCUCUUAACCGGAGAAGGCCCUUAAAAUCCACUAUCUUUCACACACUCGUGCAAUUGUCCCAUUUUUUUACCCACACCCUUUUGCAUUUGAAAAAGUCUUUGUGAUAAACAAAUUGAUAAUUGAAAGAAAAACUUUCAGCAACGGAUCUCUUGGCUCUC